rnacentral:misc_RNA from 1 species
ACGACAAAAGGGGGGGGAAGUCAAUAUAUCAUUAGGUCGAUACAAUCCUUAAAAAAGUCUCAUUUAACCAAUAAUUUUCUGUAACCAUUACAAUUUACAACCGAUUGCAUCGAACUUAAAAACCGAAGAUCCAAAACAAUCCAGUCAGAAGAAAAAACAAAGAAAACAGCGAAGCUGUACAGAUCUAGCUAAGCAAUCAAGUCAUUGGAUUCAGAGAAAGUGUGACAUUUUCCAAUUGUUAGAGAAUAUGAAGUAGAG